rnacentral:rRNA from 1 species
UACAGAGGGUGCGAGCGUUAAUCGGAAUUACUGGGCGUAAAGCGUGCGUAGGCGGUUCGCUGUGUCCGAUGUGAAAGCCCCGGGCUUAACCUGGGAAUGGCAUUGGAAACUGGCGGGCUUGAGUGUGGCAGAGGGGGGUGGAAUUCCGCGUGUAGCAGUGAAAUGCGUAGAGAUGCGGAGGAACACCGAUGGCGAAGGCAGCCCCCUGGAUUAACACUGACGCUCAGGCACGAAAGCGUGGGGAGCAAACAGG